rnacentral:rRNA from 1 species
AGAGUUUGAUCAUGGCUCAGAUUGAACGCUGGCGGCAGGCUUUAGACAUGCAAGUCGGACGGUAACAUGCUCUUCGGGGUGAUGACGAGUGGCGGACGGGUGAGUAAUGUAUAGGUAGCUACCUAGUAGUGGGGGACAACUUAGGGAAACUUAAGCUAAUACCGCAUGUAACCUUACGAGGGAAAGGAGGCUUUCGGGCUUUCGCUAUUAGAUGUGCCUAUAUUGGAUUAGCUAGUUGGUGGGGUAAAGGCUCACCAAGGCGACGAUCCAUAGCUGGUCUGAGAGGAUGGACAGCCACACUGGGACUGAGACACGGCCCAGACUUCUACGGGAGGCAGCAGUCGGGAAUAUUGGGCAAUGGGGGCAACCCUGACCCAGCCAUGCCGCGUGUGUGAAGAAGGCCUUAGGGUUGUAAAGCACUUUUAGUAAGGAGGAAAGGGUAAUAGUUAAUACCUAUUAUCUGUGACGUUACUUACAGAAACAGCACCGGCAAACUCCGUGCCAGCAGCCGCGGUAAUACGGAGGGUGCAAGCGUUAAUCGGAAUUACUGGGCGUAAAGGGCACGUAGGUGGUUUUUUAAGCUGGAUGUGAAAUCCCCGAGCUUAACUUGGGAAUUGCAACCAGAACUGGAAGGCUAGAGUGCAGUAGAGGAAGGUGGAAUUCCGCGUGUAGCGGUGAAAUGCGUAGAUAUGCGGAGGAACAUCGGUGGCGAAGGCGACCUUCUGGACUGACACUGACACUGAAGAGCGAAAGCGUGGGUAUCGAACAGGAUUAGAUACCCUGGUAGUCCACGCUGUAAACGAUGUCAACUAGUCGUUGGGACGUAAGUCUUAGUGGCGCAGCUAACGCGAUAAGUUGACCGCCUGGGGAGUACGGCCGCAAGGUUAAAACUCAAAUGAAUUGACGGGGGCCCGCACAAGCGGUGGAGCAUGUGGUUUA